rfam:Myotis brandtii contig232073, whole genome shotgun sequence.
CAUGGAGGGGUGGGGUCCCUCAGCCCGGAUUGUGAGAGGGUGCAGGCCAGGCCGAGGGACCCCAUCAGUGCAGA